AGAACCAGGCCUUUCUCUGCAGGCAUCACUUUGCUGUCCUGGAAUCUCGGCUAACUGGGCUAAAUUUACCAAGCUCUGCGUAAUUUCACAGGCCAGGUCUGCCAGAACUCACAGAAGUUUCCAUGGCUGACUGGAGUCUCGCCCGUAAUAGGCACCCAGCAUCAAAGAGGGGUAAAGCAGAUGACGCACAAAGCAAAGACUCCUUUUCAGAGAGAAACACGAUGAAGAGUGAGUCGGGAGCAAACACUGAAAACCCAGAGCAUGCAAUAAGAUUUCCAAACUGAGAAGAAGGAUGAAAAUAAACAAAGUCCUUUAUUGUACAGGUAUGCAUAGUGAUGUUAAAUGUCAAAAUACGAGUUGAAGAGGCCAGCAUUGUGACGCAGAGGAUAAAGCUGCCACCUGCGACAACAGCAUCCCAUUUGCGUGAUGUCCUGCCUGCUCGACUUCUGAUCCAGCUUCCUGCUAAUGGCCUGGGAGAGGCAGCAUUAGAUGGCCCAAGUGUUUGAACUCAUGCCACAUACAUAGGAGAUCCAGAAGAAGCUCCUGGCUUUGAUCUGGCCAACCCUGGCCAUUUCUCUCUCUCUCUCUCUCUCUCUCUCUCUGUGUGUGUAACUCUGACUUUCAAAUAAAUUAAUUAAUCUUUUUAAAAUAUAUGAAAUGAAUUCAUGUGCCAUACCUGUCAGAAGUACAAUGAAACUCUUCAAAAUGGGGAUGGCAGAAAAGAAGAGAAGUAGUAACACUUGAUGAAUGACAUGAGUGCUGAUUGAUCUGUACCAGAGAUUUCAUUUAAUUAAAGAAUUCACUACAUCCAUGACCACCAGGAGGAGAGUGGAGUCGAGAACAGAAGAUGGUGAGAUGAUCCUAGCCAUUAAGGCUGCUUUUAAGGGAUAGAAGUAAUCCAUCGAUUUCAGGAAACAAAAAGUAAUGCGGCUUCAAAUUUGGCCUCUUACGUCUUUACCAGAAAAUUGGUGCCUUGAAACUACAGUGUCACUGUGACUACUGAGAAGUCUACCAUUCUGAAGCUAUCUAAUAAGGGAGAGACUAAGUAGGUGCCAGCCAAACCUUCCCCAGACAUGGUAUUUAAAACGUGUGCUACAGACUCAAUCCAGGUUGAGUAAGAUAGACCGACAUUGAGCUGCCCU